GUUUCCACUGUAGCACAAGGAAAAUUGUCUGUGGCUUCGUUUAAGGUUCUACUCUACUGAGUUCUAUUGUGCCAGUAUUUCCAACCAAGCUGAGCUGUUUGGGGGCACUUGUUAAAAGCUGACGAAUUAUGGAACUUUCUUUUCUCCGGCUCUCCAAAGCGGCCGAUUCCAAGUCUACAGUUUUGUUGUCCUGGAGCUGAGCGUUUCUUGCGCAGAGGCCCUAGGACCCUUGCAUCAGUUCACCACAGAGAGUUGUAGACCCGAUGGGAGGAACGAAGUGAGACGGCAGGAUGGAAAGAAUCAAAAAGCUAUUCUGGUUCGGAUAGGUGUGUUGCCAAGAAACAAAGCAACAUCGAGCUCAAAUGAAUAAUGGUUUAAAAUGUGAGCACACUAUGCAAGAGUGGGAGUGAAACAGAUACUAUUUUGAUAUCCUGAAGAUGCAGAGAUGGAUGGCUGAAUGGAAACAUAAAACAGAGUCGAUGAGCACAUGGAACGACCUUCGCCACCUGGACUAUCUUCUUCUAGAUACUUUGUAAUGAAUGAGGGGGAGGGGACUCUAUAAAUUAGUUCAAGCACUCUGUUUUUUUCCUUUUCUUUCUUUUUUGUUUGUUUUGAGUCAGGGUUUCUCUGUACAGUCCUGGCUA